rnacentral:rRNA from 1 species
AGUCGAGCGGUAGCACAGAGAGCUUGCUCUCGGGUGACGAGCGGCGGACGGGUGAGUAAUGUCUGGGAAACUGCCUGAUGGAGGGGGAUAACUACUGGAAACGGUAGCUAAUACCGCAUAACGUCGCGAGACCAAAGUGGGGGACCUUCGGGCCUCAUGCCAUCAGAUGUGCCCAGAUGGGAUUAGCUUGUAGGUGAGGUAACGGCUCACCUAGGCGACGAUCCCUAGCUGGUCUGAGAGGAUGACCAGCCACACUGGAACUGAGACACGGUCCAGACUCCUACGGGAGGCAGCAGUGGGGAAUAUUGCACAAUGGGCGCAAGCCUGAUGCAGCCAUGCCGCGUGUAUGAAGAAGGCCUUCGGGUUGUAAAGUACUUUCAGCGAGGAGGAAGGCGAUAAGGUUAAUAACCUUGUCGAUUGACGUUACUCGCAGAAGAAGCACCGGCUAACUCCGUGCCAGCAGCCGCGGUAAUACGGAGGGUGCAAGCGUUAAUCGGAAUUACUGGGCGUAAAGCGCACGCAGGCGGUCUGUCAAGUCGGAUGUGAAAUCCCCGGGCUCAACCUGGGAACUGCAUCCGAAACUGGCAGGCUAGAGUCUUGUAGAGGGGGGUAGAAUUCCAGGUGUAGCGGUGAAAUGCGUAGAGAUCUGGAGGAAUACC